GACAGAGGGUGCAAGCGUUGUUCGGAAUUACUGGGCGUAAAGGGCGCGUAGGCGGCCACCGCAAGUCGGUUGUGAAAUCUCCGGGCUUAACCCGGAAAGGUCAAUCGAUACUGCGGGGCUAGAGUGCAGAAGGGGCAACUGGAAUUCUCGGUGUAGCGGUGAAAUGCGUAGAUAUCGAGAGGAACACCUGCGGCGAAGGCGGGUUGCUGGGCUGACACUGACGCUGAUGCGCGAAAGCCAGGGGAGCGAACGGG
rnacentral:rRNA from 1 species